UACUCUGUUUUGGGGCGUGAGGGUUGCUUACCGACGGCCCCGGAAAGCUGAGAUGCUGGGAUGUGGCGGCGCUCGGAGGAAUGCUGGGUACCCCCUGAUUCGCUCCUAACGUUAGAGAGUAUCUAGUCCUUAAAGAUAAAGUGUUCCUUUGUCUGAAGAUGUAAUGAGGAUGACUUGACUGAACAGGUAGAUAAUGGUGCCAUCAACUGAAAUAGAAAAUGAGGGAGCAGGAGAAGGUGUUUGAGAACGAACCGGUCUGGCGUUGGAAGGUCACCAGAAGCUCAAAUCCGAACUCCCUCGGCUGAGUGAUCCUGAACAUAAUCUCUCACUGCGUUUACCCCGGCGUUUUGAAAGUCCCCUUUAUUGCAUCUGUCUUUUUCUUAUCCCUGUGCUGUCGACUGCUGUCAUUUAGUCACGAGUGGCUGUUGAGCUCUUGAAAUGGCCAGUCCAAAUUGAGAUGUGUUGUGGGGGAGGGAUAAAUUAGGAGUUUGGGGUUAACAUAUACACACCACUGUAUAUAAAAUACAUAAACAGGAAGGACCUACUGUGUAGCACAGGGAACUGUAUUCAAUAUCUUGUAAUAACCUACAAUGGAAAAGAACCUGAAAAGAGAAUAUGUAUAUAUACACACACAUAUAUAUGUAUAACUGAAUCAGUUUGCCAUACACCUGAAACUAACACAACAUUGUAAAUCAGCUACACCUACGUUAAAAAAAAAUCCAAAUUGAGAUGUGCUGUAAGUGUAAAAUACAAACUGAUUUU